GGCUGAGUAACACGUGAAUAAUCCACCCCAUCGGUUACCGGGUAUAUGCCCGGGGAAACCCUGGAUUAAUCACCUGGAUGGCCCAUACCCGCACUUAUGGAGUCGGCUGGGAAAGGUAGCUUCGGCCUCCGACCGAGGACGAGCUCUGCGCGGAUUAGCUUGUUGGUGGGGUAACUGGCCACACCAAGGCGACGAUCCGUAGCUGGUCUGAGAGGACGGAUCAGCCACACUGGGUACUGAGUACACGGCCCAGACUCCAUACGGGAGGCAGCAGUAGGGGAAUCUUGCGCAAUGGGCGGAAAGCCUGACGCAGCGACGCCGCGUGCGGGGAAGAAGGCCUUCGGGUUGUAAACCGCUUUCAGGAGGGACCGAAGCCCAACUCGGGGUUAAUAGCCCAGAGGGUGACGGUACCUUCAGAAGAAGCCCCGGCUAACUACGUGCCAGCCGCCGCGG
rnacentral:rRNA from 1 species